rnacentral:rRNA from 1 species
UACGGAGGGUGCAAGCGUUAUCCGGAUUCACUGGGUUUAAAGGGUGCGUAGGCGGGUAAGUAAGUCCGUGGUGAAAUCUCUGAGCUUAACUCAGAAACUGCCGUGGAUACUAUUUGCCUUGAAUAUUGUGGAGGUGAGCGGAAUAUGUCAUGUAGCGGUGAAAUGCUUAGAUAUGACAUAGAACACCAAUUGCGAAGGCAGCUCACUACACAAUCAUUGACGCUGAGGCACGAAAGCGUGUGGAUCAAACAGG